rnacentral:rRNA from 1 species
UGUGCUGUGAGCUCGAUGAGUAGGGCGGGACACGUGGUAUCCUGUCUGAAUAUGGGGGGACCAUCCUCCAAGGCUAAAUACUCCUGACUGACCGAUAGUGAACCAGUACCGUGAGGGAAAGGCGAAAAGAACCCCGGCGAGGGGAGUGAAAAAGAACCUGAAACCGUGUACGUACAAGCAGUGGGAGCACAGGUUUACCUGUGUGACUGCGUACCUUUUGUAUAAUGGGUCAGCGACUUAUAUUCUGUAGCAAGGUUAACCGAAUAGGGGAGCCGGAGGGAAACCGAGUCUUAAUUGGGCGUUAAGUUGCAGGGUAUAGACCCGAAACCCGGUGAUCUAGCCAUGGGCAGGUUGAAGGUUGGGUAACACUAACUGGAGGACCGAACCGACUAAUGUUGAAAAAUUAGCGGAUGACCUGUGGCUGGGGGUGAAAGGCCAAUCAAACCGGGAGAUAGCUGGUUCUCCCCGAAAGCUAUUUAGGUAGCGCCUCGUGAAUUCAUCUCCGGGGGUAGAGCACUGUUUCGGCUAGGGGGCCAUCCCGGCUUACCAACCCGAUGCAAACUGCGAAUACCGGAGAAUGUUAUCACGGGAGACACACGGCGGGUGCUAACGUCCGUCGUGAAGAGGGAAACAACCCAGACCGCCAGCUAAGGUCCCAAAGUCAUGGUUAAGUGGGAAACGAUGUGGGAAGGCCCAGACAGCCAGGAUGUUGGCUUAGAAGCAGCCAUCAUUUAAAGAAAGCGUAAUAGCUCACUGGUCGAGUCGGCCUGCGCGGAAGAUGUAACGGGGCUAAACCAUG